rnacentral:lncRNA from 1 species
GGCUCCCCUCUUCUUCUCAGGCUGUUUGCCUUUUGCAGGGGUACUCAGCCAGCUCCCCUUUGCCCUCUGGAGGUCGUUUCUGACAUCUCAAGCCCCUGAUCCAAUCUGCUCGGGAGACACUGUGCUCUGCCAUUUGCCUGCCUUCUUCCUUCUGGUAUCCCCACACUCCAGGUGUGGACCACUAGGAGGCCCAGUUGGUGGAGGACGCCCCGGGGCCAGGAAUGUCAGCGGCCUGGGCAAAGAUGGGGAAAGCGGGAGGAACUGUUGCUGGGGAGCCACGGAGACUGGAGAGACUCUGAGAACUGUGUGGAAUCCUUGGGGCAGUGUGGUUCCACUUCCUCCGAACUGGUCUCUGGAGCUGGGAGGAGACUUGGGCUGUUUCCAGACAGGAGACAGGCGCUUUUUCUCUCAGAUGCUGCUGGGCCCUCUCUCCUACGAGCGGUUCCCCAGCUCACAGGCCUCAGAAGGGAAGCUGCACUCACAAGGGAGGCAAAGCCAGUUCUCCUGGGAGUGUUGGCAGGUGGAAAACACACAGAAGUCCACUGAGGUCAGGAUGAUUCUCCUCAUGCCCAUCUUUAUGGCAAUGAAAGGACCAGAGAUGCUGGGGUGAGUAAUAUUUACAGAUCAAAUUAAGUCCUAUCAUGCCCCUUAACCUUAAUUAAAUCAUUCAUUCCUCCAGUCUGUUUACUGAGCAAACGCACAAAGCGGUGCACCUCCAGCCUCCUUGGUGCACACUGAUCUUACUCUUCUCUGGACCUCUCACUCAAGUCUUGCUAACGCUGUCUUGUGGGGCCUUAUGGUUCCCAGAGUCUGUCUUGCCUUGGAAGCGGAUCAGGAGCUUUCUUAGGGAAACACCUGGAUGAACAACCCUUUUAUAUUCUACUUAUGACAAAUCCAGAGCAGGCACUCAAGAUACAUGUUAAAUGAGUAAUAGAUGAUGAUGUAGUGGAAAAAUGCAUGAGUUUAGGGGUUAGCUAGACCUAGGUUCGGUUCCCAGUUUUGUCAUUAAUUAGUUGUAAGAUCUUGGACAAAUUCCUUACCUUCUUUCAGACUCUCAAAAUGGGAAUAAUAAUGAUUAGCACAUAGUGCUUGUCACACAGCACAUGCUGCUGCUGCUGCUAAGUCGUUUCAGUUGUGUCCGACUCUGUGUGACCCCAUAGACGGCAGCCCACCAGACUCCCCCCGUCCCUGGGAUUCUCCAGGCAAGAACACUGGAGUGGGUUGCCAUUUCCUUCUCCAAUGCAUGAAAGUGAAAAGUGAAAGUGAAGUUGCUCAGUCAUAUCCGACUCUUAGCGACCUCAUGGACUGCAGCCUACCAAGCUCCUCCAUCCAUGGGAUUUUCCAGGCAACAGUACUGGAGUAGGGUGUCAUUGCCUCCUCCCACACAGCACAUAGUUGACACCAAAUGGCUGCUAAUAUUUAAUAUGUACUAUAUACUAAGAUCAUGGCAUCUGGUCCCAUCACUUCAUGGGAAAUAGAUGGGAAACAGUGGAAACAGUUGCUGCUGCUGCUGCUUCAGUCGUGUCCGACUCUGUGCAACCCCAUAGAUGGAAGCCCACCAGGCU